GUUGAAUUUCUCCUUGAUAAGUAAUAAAAUCCAUUCUGCUGAUUCACAAUUAUGGAGACUAUGUACCUACCGAUAAAACUGGCCUGAAAGGAACAUCUGGGGGAAGCUGGGAAGCUUGGCAGUACUUGCACCUGAGCCUCGCGGGCGGCGGAUGCGGUGAGCUCCAUGGUA